GCCUCUGUGGGAUUGAGUGUCUCCCUGGAGUACAGGAAAGAAGUGAGUUCGUGCUAUGGUGUAAACCCAAUACCUGGACUCAUCACCUUACACCAGCAGCAGAAAACGCAAAGGGAAGCAUUGACUAGCUACCGUUUUCUACCAAGUGCUGUUCUCCAAACUUUGGAUGAAACCAGAUACGGGAGAGAAAGUAGCAUCAGCUACAAGGUCAGAUAAUGGCCCCGGUGUAAGAAGUUUCAAAUAGCAAGAUUUGACCUGCCUUUGGGAUUUUUGGGCUCCUGAAUGGUAGGUCUUGAAGGAAAAAGAGCAGGAAGAGGAGAAGAAGAGG